rnacentral:rRNA from 1 species
CCUACGGGGGGCUGCAGUGGGGAAUAUUGGACAAUGGGCGAAAGCCUGAUCCAGCCAUGCCGCGUGUGUGAAGAAGGCCUUCGGGUUGUAAAGCACUUUCAGUGGGGAAGAAAGCCUUGGGGCUAAUACCCUCGAGGAAGGACAUCACCCACAGAAGAAGCACCGGCUAACUCCGUGCCAGCAGCCGCGGUAAUACGGAGGGUGCGAGCGUUAAUCGGAAUUACUGGGCGUAAAGCGCGCGUAGGCGGUCUGAUAAGCCGGUUGUGAAAGCCCCGGGCUCAACCUGGGAACGGCAUCCGGAACUGCCAGGAUAGAGGGGAGGAGAGGAAGGUAGAAUUCCCGGGGUAGCGGUGAAAUGCGUAGAGAUCGGGAGGAAUACCAGUGGCGAAGGCGGCCUUCUGGACUGACACUGACGCUGGGGUGCGAAAGCGUGGGUAGCAAACAGGAUUAGAUACCCCAGAGUC